GACGAACGCUGGCGGCGUGCUUAACACAUGCAAGUCGAACGGAAAGGCCCUGCUUUUGUGCGGUUCUCGAGUGGCGAACGGGUGAGUAACACGUGUGUAACCUGCCCUUGACUUUGGGAUAACUUAAGGAAGCUGGGGCUAAUAUCGGAUAGGAGCUCCUGCUGCAUGGAGGGGGUUGGAAAGUUUCGGCGGGUGGGGUUGGACUCGCGGCUUAUCAGCUUGCUGGUUGGGUAGUGGCUUACCAAGGCAUUGACGGGUAGCCGGCCUGAGAGGGUGACCGGCGACCAUAGGACUGAGAGACGGCGCAGACUCCAACGUGAGGCAGCGGGGGGGAGUAUGGCACAGUGGGCGGGAGCGUGAUGCAGCAACGCCGCGUGCGGGAUGACGGCUUGCUGGUUGAGAACCGCUGUAGCCUGAGACGAAGCGUGAGUGACGGUAAUGGGUAAAUAAGCACCGGCUAACUACGUG
rnacentral:rRNA from 1 species